AGACCUGUUGCCAAGGCAACAGGCACCAUGUUCCCAACAUUCACUUGGCUCACCUUCCUGCGUUGACAUUCUCCAUAUAAAUAAGGAGAACACCCCUCCCUCUCUCUCUCCCCCUCUUCUCUUUCUGCCACCACCUUCUCUCUCUUUCCCCAAUAAAACCUCUUCCAUGUGGAACUGACUUGGCCUAGUGUGCUAUUGAGACUUGACCCACCAUUCUAACACAUGUACUAUGACAUGACCAAGGCUGCACACAAGCCUGGGGAAUGGAAACCACAUGCAAGGAGGCAAGACUCACAAAGGCGGUGUGUGUUAAACUGCCCUGUGGGUUCCAAGAUGGCGGCAACAAGCCAAGUGCGUCUAACCUGUUCCUGACAUAGCUCAGCUAAUGUGACAAGUCAGCCAGCCAGCUUGCUCUGCCGAUCUGUCUCUGCCAUCUGAGCACUGGAUUACAGGCUUGCUUCCUGUACAGGGAUCACCAGAAUUAAUUUCAACCAUACCUACAUAUUUCUUGGCAAUGGGCAAAGAAAAACAUUUGGAAGAAUUAGUAUGAAUCCCCAUAUCUGCAAGGCCCCUGGACAUGUUUCUUGGGGGGACCCUUUUAUCAAAUUUCUUUAUCAAACUUUUAAGUCUUUAAGCUAUGACUCUAAAAGACUAUAUGGCUAUGUUAUGUUUCAAAGCAUCAAAAAGUCUAAAAGUCUUUAUGUCAAAUAGCUUAGAUGUAACUUCUUGGUGCCUGAUAGAUAAAUCCAAUAUUCUUAAAUAAACCAUCUUCACAGCUACCCACAGA
rnacentral:lncRNA from 1 species